CCUACGGGGUGCAGCAGUGGGGGAUAUUGCACAAUGGGGGGAACCCUGAUGCAGCGACGCCGCGUGGGUGAAGGAGUAUUUCGGUAUGUAAAGCCCUAUCGGCAGGGAAGAAUUUAGACGGUACCUGACUAAGAAGCCCCGGCUAACUACGUGCAAGCAGCCGCGGUAAUACGUAGGGGGCAAGCGUUAUCCGGAUUCACUGGGUGGAAAGGGAGCGUAGACGGCCAGGCAAGCCUGGAGUGAAAGCCCGGGGCCCAACCCCGGGACUGCUCUGGGAACUGACCGGCUGGAGUGCCGGAGGGGUAGGCGGAAUUCCUAGUGUAGCGGUGAAAUGCGUAGAUAUUAGGAGGAACACCAGUGGCGAAGGCGGCCUACUGGACGGUGACUGACGCUGAGGCUCGAAAGCGUGGGGAGCAAACAGGAUUAGAUACCCCUGUAGUC
rnacentral:rRNA from 1 species